UCAGAGGAGGUGCCGAACAGCGUCGACAGCAGCCAGACAGCGGGGGAUCCUCCAUGAUGUAGACCCAGCCGAGCGACACAUCCACCCCACAACACGAGCAGGUGUCGAGGCUGCGGGGCCACGAUCACGAGCCGCCCUCGGUCCAUCCCUUUCUCCGGUGUUUCUUUAUCCUGCGUGGAGGAGAUGAAGGAGCUGCGGGGCUGCGGUAUGCGCUGCUCGGUGGGCUUUCUGUCCCGCAGAGAGCUGACCGGCCAGCCGCUGCUGAAGGAGGAGUUCCAGAGGCGCAGGCUGUCCGGCUGCACCAGCCUCUUCAAGAAGGACAUGCUCGGACACUUCGGCUGCGUCAACGCCAUUGAGUUCUCCAACAACGGAGGCGAAUGGCUGGUGUCCGGAGGAGACGACCGCCGGGUUCUCCUGUGGCACAUGGAGCAAUCCCUUCAUGCUCGGUCCAAGCCUGUGAAGCUGAAGGGGGAGCAUCUGUCCAACAUCUUCUGCCUGGCCUUCGACAGCAGCAACCACAAGGUCUUCUCUGGUGGAAAUGAUGAGCAGGUCAUUCUCCAUGAUGUGGAGAGACGGGAAACUCUGAACGUGUUCCUGCACAUCGAUGCCGUGUACAGUUUGUCCGUCAGCCCGGUGAACGACAACGUGUUCGCCAGUUCAUCUGACGACGGACGGGUUCUUAUCUGGGACACUCGUGAGCCGCCACACGGAGAGCCGUUCUGCCUGGCCAGCUACCCGUCAGCCUUCCACAGCGUGAUGUUCAACCCCGUGGAGCCGAGGCUGCUCGCCACCGCCAACUCCAAGGAGGGAGUUGGAUUAUGGGACAUCCGCAAACCGCGCAGCUCUCUUCUGCGUUAUGGAGGUAACAUGUCCCUGCAGAGCGCCAUGAGCGUUCGCUUCAACAGCACCGGCACCCAGCUGCUGGCGCUGCGCCGCCGCCUGCCGCCGGUCCUCUACGAGCUGCACUCCCGCCUGCCGAGCUACCAGUUCGACAACCAGGGCUACUUCAACUCCUGCACCAUGAAGAGCUGCUGCUUCGCCGGCGACAAAGAUCAGUACAUCCUGUCUGGAUCUGAUGACUUCAACCUCUACAUGUGGAGGAUCCCAAAGAAUCCAGAAGCAGGAGGCGCAGGUCGUGUGGUGAACGGGGCUUUCAUGAUUCUGAAAGGCCACCGCUCCAUCGUGAACCAGGUUCGCUUCAACCCUCACACCUACAUGAUCUGCUCGUCCGGUGUGGAGAAGGUCAUCAAGGUGUGGAGUCCCUACCAGCAGUGUGAGAGUCUUGGUGACCUGGAGGGGCGUGUGGAGGACAAGUCCCGCAGCCUCUAUACCCAUGAGGAGUACAUCAGCCUGGUGCUCAACAGUGGCAGCGGCCUGUCCCACGACUACGUCAGCCAGUCCAUCCAGGAGGACCCGCGCAUGAUGGCGUUCUUUGACUCGCUGGUGCGUCGAGAGAUCGAGGGCUGGAGCUCAGACUCUGACAGCGACUUGAGCGAGGAGGCCAUCAUGCAGCUUCACGCCCGCGGACGUCGCUCUACUACCCGACCCACGCCAGCCCCUCCUAUCGCUGCCCCGGCUGCUGUUCAGCCGAGUGACUCAGAUAACUCGUUGUCCUCCUCUUUGGCUGGACCCGAGGCCUCAGGAGGGGAAGAGCCCCCCCAGGCAGAGGCAGAGGAGGAGGAGGAGCCGAGGAGACGCAACAGGAAUCAGCAGCCACAGUCCGGCUUCCUGGUGAACGAAGACUCAGACUCCAGUGGGUUUUGGCUGGACCCCAUGCCCCGGCCUCGCUCCCCCAGCCCCCGGGACAACUCCACGCUGUCCAGCCCCGCCACCUCCCUCUCACUCCCCGCCGGAGCCUCCAGCUCCUCCACGUCCACUUCCAGCUCCAGCAGUGAUGACGAGGAGCGGCGCAGUGCGGUGAGGCGGCGCAAUGUCACGAGACGACGGCGCAUGAGUGUGGUCUCCAGAGCGGGGUAUCGACCUGAGUCUGUACUGGCUUUGUUUUCAACCAUUGACUCCUGCAAUUACCCAUCGAUCUCCCUGGAGGACAUGUCGUCUUCCUCGUCAGAGGUACAAGAAUCUCCCCAGAUCAAGCCCCAGAGUGGUGGCAACGGUGAGGAGGAAAAAUGCCUGAGCCCCUCUGACUUUGUGUGUUCAAGCCCAGUAAUGACCCCGGAAAGUCAGGAGAAUGAGGAGGGGAGUGACAGGACAUUGGACGGACACAGGACAGAAGCGAGGACUCUGACAGAGUUUGUUUUGGACAGCUCCGACAGUGGAGAGGCGUGUAGCUCAGCAGCUGCAGAGCGUAACGCCAAGAGCCGCCGGAGCACUGGAGUGAACGGGCAGCACCGGACUGUGGCUUCAUACCUGACCCUGUGUGUCUCCUCAGAGUCCGAGGGAGAGACUGAUCUCACGCCUGAAGACACCAGGCCAGAGAGAGGACGAGGCCCGGCUCUCAAACGGACUCACAAGCGCUCAGAAGAGGGAGAAUCAGGCUCCUCCCCCUCAGAAAAGAAAUUAAAAACAUAAUGAACUAUUUUCUUUUCAACCCAAAAAACAAUCAUUUGUUAACGGACCUGAUUUGGAGAUGCCAUGGCAACACAGCCUCAGCUCUCCCCGUGAAGUGAAUGUGAAAUCUGCUCCUCUGGCCGUGACUCCCGAGCAGCCACUGUCAACCAGAGCUAGAAUAUUGUAUUGAUUAAAUCCAUAAGCCAUCUUUGUUGUCAAACUUGAAAGACAACCAGGGCUCAGGAGCUUUUCACGAGUUCCACGGGGGGAAUUCAUACAUCAUUGCCUGCCUCUGUCUCGCUCCAUCCAGGCUCCACCCCUAGCCUAUAUGUUCUCCAGCUGCGUUUAGCUAUGAAAGACAAUUUUUUUCUGAUAUUUUCUGGAGUUCAUGUAAUGAGAACAGUUCGACAUUAGGGAGAAAUAAACAGUUUUUUUUCCAGAGUUAAUUCACCUCUGAAAAUCGGAUGGAUGAGGACGAUACAAAUAGUGAAAUACCCAAAGUCUCAUGCCUCUGUCUAAACAUUUGUUUCACUAAUUUGACAGAACAAGGUGCAUUGAGUUGCUUUUCUUAAGAGCCUAAGUCAAAUGUUAUUUAAUUUGCAACACAACACAAGCUCCAAAUGAUUCUGUACAAAGCUCUUACUUUUAUUUUGAAAAGCUAAUUAAAUUAGUUUUUUUUUUAAAUAAAAUUGGUAUAAAAAAAGAUUCUGAUCAAAUGACGACAAGUUAUCAUUUAACAAGAUAAUCUGUCUGAAUGUUGAAUCGAAACUGUUCUGGAUGUACAAAAAUAAAUUGACAUAGAUCUCA